rnacentral:lncRNA from 1 species
GAUUUAUUCAGCACACACAUUCUGAGUGCCUCCUCUCCACUAGACACAUGAUGGGGAGAGUCUAGUUUGAGAAAGACGGAUGUAAAAAAAAAAGGUACCAGGGGAUUUCAGAAAAGGACAAUGUUGAUGUGAGCUGGGAUUGUCAAAGGCGAUUUCAAGAAGAAGACAGAAAGAAACGGUGCCCCAUGGGAGAGAGGAGAGGAAACAAACUAGCUAAUGAAGAAGACUGAAGAUGAUUUAAAGUAGUGUUUGUAUAAUAGAGAUAUACAUAUGCAACUGGCUGAGAAUGAAGAAGCAAG